AUGAACAUAGACCCUCUUUUUCACUUUCACAUAAUCAGCUCUGCAAGCUUGUCAUCUCAGCUACAGGAUAAAACAGAAAGGGAGAGAAAACAGAGACAGAAAGAGCAGAGAGACCAUAGUGGAUCUGAGAACAGAGCAAGCAGAGAGAUUGAAACCGAAGCGCAAUGCAAGCAUCAGGCCUGUCCUCUGUGGUACAGAAUUGUUGGUAUAAAAUUCGGAAGAAGAAUAGUUUGUGACCUUGGCCCGCCUCAGCAAGAAGAAUGUGCAUUAUCAUGGCCGAAUAGCUCUGAUUUGAACUGUGUUGUUUCACAUCAUCGGCUCUAA
rnacentral:rRNA from 1 species